UCAAGUCAAGUACUUUCUUCUGGGCUGUUCUUCUAAAGAUUCUGGCAAAUAACAAUGGAUGCCGCCAAAAUAUCAGACCUUAAGCAAUUUGUGGAGCACUGCAAGUCCGACCCGUCAACUCUUAAUGACCCGUCUCUUUCCUUUUUCAAAUCCUACCUUAACAGUUUAGGUGCCCGAGUUCCUGCUCCUCAAACUAACUCGGAGAAAGGUGGUAUUGACAUGUCGAACACAAAGGAAAAUCGUGAUGGACAACGAUCUAGUGAUGAGAUUGAUGAAAUAAUCGAGUCUGAUGUUGAGUUGGACGAGAGUGACGUUGUGGAACCUGACAAUGAUCCACCGCAAAAGAUGGGUAACCCUGUAACUGAGGUUAGUGAAGAAAUGCAGGAUGCGGCGCGAAUGGAAAAAUUAAAAGCUAUGGAUGCAAUCUCUGAAGGUAAGCUGGGUGAAGCUAUUGAUUAUCUGACAGAAUCCAUAAUGUUGAAUCCAACCUCGGCUAUUUUAUAUGCAACUAGAGCUAGUGUCUUUAUUAAACUCAAGAAACCAAAUGCUGCCAUACAUGAUGCUAAUGCUGCUUUAGAGAUCAAUCCGGACUCUGCAAAAGGAUAUAAAAUACGAGGAAUGGCAAGGGCAAUGUUGGGCCAUUGGGAAGAAGCAGCAAAGGAUCUACAUGUAGCAUCUAAAUUGGAUUAUGAUGAGGAGAUUGGUUUAGUGCUCAAAAAGGUUGAACCUAAUGCUCACAAAUUAGAGGAGCACCGUAGAAAAUAUGAACGCAUGAGGAAAGAAAGGGAGCUAACGAAGGCUGAACGUGAAAGGCAACGACGAGCUAAAGCACAAGAGCAAGAAGCCUUGUCUGCUUUGAAUGAGGGGCAAGUGACGGGCAUCCACUCUGCUGGUGAUCUGGAUGCCAAACUGAAUGCCGCUUCAAGAACAUCUCGCCUUGCAAUUCUGUACUUCACAGCUUCGUGGUGUGGACCUUGUCGUUUCAUUUCUCCUCUUUUUACAAGCUUAGCUGCAAAAUACCCCAAAUCCGUGUUCUUAAAAGUUGACAUUGAUGAGGCAGCGGAUGUUGCUGCAAAGUGGAACAUUAGCAGUGUUCCGACCUUUCACUUCAUAAAAAAUGGAAAGGAAAUUGACAAGGUAAUGGGGGCUGAUAAAAAUGGGCUGGAACGGAAGAUUGAACAAUAUGCAGGCUAGUGCUGGGCUAAUCUAUUAUUUUAUACUCUGCUUGACUACCCUCUGGUAUGUUAUAUUCUCUUAUUUCUUUGUCCAACUUUAUGAGUUGCUUAGUUGCAUUUAAUUUAUGCGAGCUUGCAGACUGUCUAAUAUCUAUGGAUAGCCAUUUAACAUCUGCACAUUUGUCUUCGGUAUAUUAACUAAUGAAUUUUUGUUCAUUUAUCAAAUUGACUGCCUUUAAGUUUGCAAACCAACCUAAUGUAUUGAAGCUUCAGAGUUGAGGUAAUCUAUUCUUUAUUUCAGGGAUAUGAGAGCUUUUUAUAGUUUAGCCCUUUAGCUUACCUUUUCAUAAACUUUCUUGAGGCUGUCAUUUAUUUUUGUCCAAUAAAACAUUGAGUCAUUGAUUACUUUUAUUUGUUCCAAUAUUUUUGAAAUUCUAGCUCUAGUCUUAAUCAGAAUUCCCACCGGUUGCCGUUUCAUUUUGUGCCGGAAUAGAAAGUCCUACAGAUAAACUAUUCUACAUAUAUUAACAGCUAUAAAUAUAAUGUCCUUAUGAAAGUUCAACAUUAGUCUCUUAAACUUGAGAUUAAUCCCAAAUUGCAUCUUACUUUCAUGAGUAGAGGCGUAUUAGCAUCUAACUCUUGUCCAAAAUUGCUGAUAAUAGGGCUGUCUAGGUGCUCAUUAGAAAGAACUUAACAAUCUCUUGAGUUAAGGAACACGACAUUUCUCUGAAAUUUCGUUUAGUUUCUCUCUGAUCCUCUUUAAUACUAGACCUUUUAGCUACCUAAGGUUAUGAACAAACUACCCUAAGCAUACUGUGGCCUUAUUCUGUAACCGCUGCCCAGAAAUUGAGAACCUUACUCUGCUCAAGUUGGAUAAACAUGGAUUUAAUUUGUGCCGAGUGCUUAACGUCAUCCUCUAGUCUUCUUUUUGUGGAUCUCUCACUCGAUUCUUUAUUUUUUUUAAUAGUUAUUUCAGAAGUUCUAAUUGGAAUUAAGUCAGAUUACAAUUAAGUUUUAGCAGUUAUUUUAAUUAUUUAGUCCUGAACUUUCUGAAACCAACUGUUUAUGAACCUUAAAAUCUUUAUUCUAGCAGAUUGCAUUGAUGUCUGUGACAAGGCCAGUUUUACGUUUGCCUGUUAUUUUUCUGUUUCUUUUUUGAAGUGAGAUUUUUUUCCCAGCAUUUGCAUUUAGGAGAAGCUAAUCUCUUAGUUAGAAAUUUAGAAUUGGUGAAGUGAUAUUUUGAAUACUGAAAAAUAUUUGAAGUGAAGUUGAUACAUUUUAUGAAAUUUUUUUGAUGAAGGAAGAUGACAAAAAUAUAUAUGGGAUAAUGCUUGCUUAUAUAACAUUUCGUGGGCAAAAAAACCUAUAGCAAUAAAUGUUUGUUUUCUUUCAAUUUUUGUUAAUUUCUAAUGAACCCACCUUGGUGUUCUCAAUUUAACAAAUGUUAUGAGUAACAAGACUAGGCUUAGUGCAUCCAGAGUCUGUCCAUCAAAAUGUUAUACAUUUUUACAUGUUCUACAGAGAUGGUCACUAUAAGCAGAAAAAAUUUGGGAGAAAAGUUUUGAUUUGAAACAUAGGCCAACUUGAAAUAAACUUCUGACAGAAAAGGAACUGAAACCCAUGCUUCAUUUCCUCUCGUUCUUAGAGUAAAAUCUUAGAACCACAUAGAAGAGGAGCCUGUAAAGCACUCCCCAAGCUAACAAGAUAGCGACGUCAUACCAAAGGUUGUCCAUCUUGAUGUCCAUUGUGGAUAGAAAAUCUUCUCCGAUCAGUGGGCAAUGUGGUCCAAUUGUAUUGUUAUUAUGCAGUUUGCUAGGUUUGAUAUCUCCGAGAGGACCAGGCGUAAGAUCUGAAAAGUUCCCAGUAUAGCAUUUUGUUCCUUUGAACUCAUUUGAUAGCAUUGCCUCAAAUGGAUACUUGAUUGCAGAUAUGUAAUGUAGCCAUCUCCAGUAGAUCGGUAUCUGUGUCCGCUUUAAGAAAAACCCACAAGUCAGGAAGAACAGAGCAGUUGUGGCAAUUACUACUGCAUAUCCUGUGAUGUAACUGGGGACAAGUGCACUAACAAGCAUAACAUAAGCAUUGGUAGUAAUUAGGGAGGCGUAAAGGAUAAUCCAAAAAUUGAAGAGAUUGCUUUCCAGAUGCAGUAUGAUUUUGGUUAUGGCAGCAAAUGUGAGACCUUGGAUGGCGAAGAAUGGGAGAUAGACUAAAAGAGAGGAGACAACAUAGGAGGAAGCACGGUAAGCAUUAUGGGAAGUCUCUCUGAUGAAGAUGAAUCGUUCCUGGAUGAAUGUUGGGACAGCAUCAUUCGAUGAAAAGAAAACCAAGCAAACUGCAAAUAUGUAGAAAUUCAUAAGUUGAUUAACGGUUUUGAAUGUGGACUCGCUCAGGUUCUUGAAAAGUGAGGAAAGAAUUAGUGCCAUGACGGUUAAUACUAUCUCUCUCGAAAGAAAAAGUUCAGGGGUGCGAACAACGUUAAGUGCUGUUCUCCAUGAGAGGACAGCAACCUCACGGAGCCAUGGAUUAGCAAAUUUAGGGCCAUGUGCUGGCUCAUCAAGCAUUUCUUCUUCCAUGUAAAAAUCUUCAUAUGAAGCAGUAUAUGAAUCCACUGACGGGCUAUAGAUAACUGGAGUUUUUGGAUGAUAAGGGACAUGUUGAGGUGUUGGAUACUGGCUUGAAACUUGACUUCGUGCAGCAGAAAUUGGCGUUCUUGCUGGAGUUCUUGCAGGAGUCCAUGAUGGUCGGCGAGGAGCUCCUUUGACACCAUUGUAGACCCAAACUGAAAAUUCUUUAUAGAACUGCGAAGCCAACCUUGGUUGAUAGACACCACUGUGUAAAUUCAUCGGUGUGGGCAUAGUCCUACGCUCGAGGGAAUUAUCAAAGUUGUCAUCGUCUUCAUCAUCAUCAUCAUAUCCAUAUUGCCCAGAGUCAGCUCGAGAUGUUCCACUGGUUGAGAAUGCUUGGCUCCAGAGGUUGAUACCUAGUCUGGAUCCAGAGGUAUUAGUGUAGGGAGUUCGUGGUGUUUUUGGCGUUUUUGGUGUCUUGGGGAUCGGAGUCCUGGCUACUUGAUCAGGUUUGAGUCCCUCACUUUGGUAAAGAACAAGAGGAUCGAGUCCCACAUUGGAUUCAUCAUACUCUUUGAUGACAUCGAGAAGAUAUUCCAGGCUAUUUUCACCAUCUGGAAUUGGCCUUCCAAAUCCGGAGAGAUGAGAAGGAAGAGCAGCUGGGCUUCCCAUGUAUAUCAGUUUACCCCUGUGUGAAGGUUUUGAUAUCUUUAAAUCUUAGAUAUAUAUAAAAGUAGAAGGAUAUUACUAUCACCCUGAAGUAAGGUCAAAAUUACUGUUUUCCUCCCAAAGUUUUAAAAUAUACUGUUUCUCCCUCAGGUUUAGAUAUUAAAUUGAUAUCUUUCUUAGGUAAUAUUAGAUAAUAAAAUUUCAGGGAGGAAAUAGUGAAUUUUAAAAACUUUAGGGCAAAAACAGUAAUUUUGAUCUAAUUUAAGAAAUUUUCUCUAGAUAGAAACAUCAGCUUCCUAGCUUACCUUGCAAGAACUGUGAUCCGGUCUAAGAGCAUUUGAAUUCUGAAGGAAGGCUGGUGGAUAGUCAUCAACACAAUACUGCCGCUUUUCGCUAUUUCCUUCACCUUUUCCACCACACUGAAAGCACUUGUAGAAUCAAGACCUGAGGUUGGUUCAUCAAGAAACAGCAGGGACGGCUUAUGGAUUAUAUCAAUUCCUAUUGACACUCUUCGCCGUUCCCCACCCGACACUCCUCUCCUGCCUUCAUCACCAAUAUAUGUAUGCGCGGUAUUCUGCAAAACAAUUAUCUUUCCGUUUAACUAUUUACUAACUUAAACAAAUCAGAUGCGCACACACAUAUAUAGAGAGACAGUGGUGUACCGUUAAUCCUAGUUGGUCUAGGAGCUCGUAGACUCUUUGUUUCUUUUCAGUUCUAGAAAUGGAAGGAGGAAGCCUGACUUCAGCAGCAAACAUGAAGGUCUCGAAGACGGUUAACAUGGGGAAUAGCUGAUCAUCUUGCAUCACAUAAGACGAUAUCAUCUUCAUGUAGCUGAUCCUUGAAGACUUCCCUGAGCAAUCCGACCAGCUAAGGCAUCGAGAAAAGUGGAUUUUCCAGCACCACUCGGACCCAUGAUGGCCAUAAUUUCACCUCUCAAAGCCUGACCGGAUAUAUCAUUGAGAAGAUAAGCCUCUUUACUGAUCCAAACACCGUCUUUCUUCUGCUUCUUUUUGACACUAUACGAUACAUUUUUGAACUCAAGACCGUGGCCUGGAAUCAUUUUCCGAGUCUCAACUGGCACAGCAUUUUUCUUUGCAGCUGCUGUUUUGUCCAUGUCUAGUAGACUUUCAAGGCUUUUGUUGGCGUUUGUUCGACCUACCUUGGCCGCCAUUUCGAUCAAAAUGCAGCAAAAGGAUCACCGCGAUGCUUUAUUUUUCGAUGGGAUUAAGAAGCUAAGUGGAGUUCCCGUGUCGUAUUAAAAGGAGAAAGCAAUAAGGUAUGUGGGGAUAUAGACAAAUGUUUGAUGGUUAAACCCGAUGAAAGCGAAUUGGAGUGUUGUGAAGUAAGAAGAUGGCUAGUCCCUCUCUACUUCACAUUGUUUUUCUCGCAACCUUACUUUGGUAUUGCCAUUGAAAAUAGCUGCGUACACACUCACUGUAUCUGUCUCUGUCUCUAUGUCGUUUGCUAUAUGACAUUUCAUUGAACUAUUUAUACAUUGUUCUCUUAAGAUUUUUGUCAUUUGAGUUAUAUUUAUUUCGACAAAAGAAAAAUCUAAAGCCCCUAAUUGAAUUA